AUGGUUGUUGUCAAUGGCUUCUCCAACCUGCACGCCUCCAGCUUCACCUGGCUCAACUCAGCAAACAUCGCCCUUAUCCCGAAAAAAGACGGCGUCGAGGACAUUUCAGAUUUCAGACCAGUUAGCCUCAUUCAUGCGGUCGCCAAAAUCAUCGCUAAAAUGAUGGCCUCUCGCCUAGCCCCUCACAUGCCCAACCUAGUCUCCAAUGCACAAAGUGCUUUCAUCAAAAAGAGAAGCAUCCACGACAAUUUUAUGUAUGUC
rnacentral:rRNA from 1 species